UGGGGAAUAUUGCACAAUGGGCGCAAGCCUGAUGCAGCCAUGCCGCGUGUAUGAAGAAGGCCUUCGGGUUGUAAAGUACUUUCAGCGGGGAGGAAGGGAGUAAAGUUAAUACCUUUGCUCAUUGACGUUACCCGCAGAAGAAGCACCGGCUAACUCCGUGCCAGCAGCCGCGGUAAUACGGAGGGUGCAAGCGUUAAUCGGAAUUACUGGGCGUAAAGCGCACGCAGGCGGUUUGUUAAGUCAGAUGUGAAAUCCUCGGGCUCAACCUGGGAACUGCAUCUGAUACUGGCAAGCUUGAGUCUCGUAGAGGGGGGUAGAAUUCCAGGUGUAGCGGUGAAAUGUGUAGAGAUCUGGAGGAAUACCGGUGGCGAAGGCGGCCCCCUGGACGAAGACUGACGCUCAGGUGCGAAAGCGUGGGGAGCAAACAGG
rnacentral:rRNA from 1 species